rnacentral:rRNA from 1 species
CCUACGGGAGGCAGCAGUGGGGAAUAUUGGGCAAUGGGCGCAAGCCUGACCCAGCAACGCCGCGUGAAGGAAGAAGGCUUUCGGGUUGUAAACUUCUUUUCUGAGGGACGAAGAAAGUGACGGUACCUCAGGAAUAAGCCACGGCUAACUACGGGCCAGCAGCCGCGGUAAUACGUAGGUGGCAAGCGUUAUCCGGAUUUAUUGGGUGUAACGGGCGGGGAGGCGGGAAAGCAAGUCAGAUGGGAAAACUCAGGGCUCAACCCUGAGCCUGCAUUUGAAACGGUUUUUCUUGAGUGCUGGAGAGGCAAUCGGCCUUCCGUGUGUCGCGGUGAAAUGCGUCGAUCUACGGAG